GCAACUCGACUCCAUGAAGUCGGAAUCGCUAGUAAUCGCAAAUCAGAAUGUUGCGGUGAAUACGUUCCCGGGCCUUGUACACACCGCCCGUCACACCAUGGGAGUGGGUUGCACCAGAAGUAGAUAGCUUAACCUUCGGGAGGGCGUUUACCACGGUGUGAUUCAUGACUGGGGUGAAGUCGUAACAAGGUAACCCUAGGGGAACCUGGGGUUGGAUCACCUCCUUA
rnacentral:rRNA from 1 species